UACAACUUUCAACAACGGAUCUCUUGGUUCUGCAUCGAUGAAGAACGCAGCGAAAUGCGAUACGUAGUGUGAAUUGCAGAAUUCAGUGAAUCAUCGAAUCUUUGAACGCACAUUGCGCCCUUUGGUAUUCCAAAGGGCAUGCCUGUUCGAGCGUCAUU
rnacentral:rRNA from 1 species